UUGAGAUGAAAAAUCUUUUAGGGGUACAUGGGUGACUCAGCUGAGCAUCUGACUUCGGCUCAGGUCAUGAUCUCACGGUUUGUGAGUU